rnacentral:rRNA from 1 species
GCGUGCCUAACACAUGCAAGUCGAACGAGAAAGCUCCUUCGGGAGUUAGUAGAGUGGCGCACGGGUGAGUAACACGUGGAUAAUCCGCCUGAUAAUCUGGGAUAACAUUUCGAAAGGGAUGCUAAUACCGGAUAAGCCCACAGCCUCUUCGGAGGCAGCGGGAAAAGAUGGCCUCUUCUUGAAAGCUAUUGUUAUCAGAUGAGUCCGCGGUCCAUUAGCUAGUUGGUAGGGUAAUGGCCUACCAAGGCAACGAUGGAUAGCUGGUUUGAGAGAAUGAUCAGCCACACUGGAACUGAGACACGGUCCAGACUCCUACGGGAGGCAGCAGUGGGGAAUUUUGCGCAAUGGGGGAAACCCUGACGCAGCAACGCCGCGUGAGUGAUGAAGGUUUUCGGAUCGUAAAGCUCUGUCAAGAGGGAAGAAACCUCCAACGGCUAAUACCUGUUGGAAUUGACGGUACCUCUAGAGGAAGCACCGGCUAACUCCGUGCCAGCAGCCGCGGUAAUACGGAGGGUGCAAGCGUUGUUCGGAAUUAUUGGGCGUAAAGCGCGUGUAGGCGGUUAGUUAAGUCUGAUGUGAAAGCCCCGGGCUCAACCUGGGAAGUGCAUUGGAUACUGGCAAACUUGAGUACGGGAGAGGGAAGUGGAAUUUCGAGUGUAGGGGUGAAAUCCGUAGAUAUUCGAAGGAACACCAGUGGCGAAGGCGGCUUCCUGGACCGAUACUGACGCUGAGACGCGAAAGCGUGGGGAGCAAACAGGAUUAGAUACCCUGUAGUCCACGCCGUAAACGAUGGGUACUAGGUGUUGCGGGUAUUGACCCCUGCAGUGCCGAAGCUAACGCAUUAAGUACCCCGCCUGGGGAGUACGGCCGC